AGACUUUGGACCUGCAUGUCUUGAACAGCAGCUCCCACACCUCAUGGAAGUAAUCUUUGAAGCUUGCAGGGGUUUCAAAAGCAGCUUCUAAUAUAUCAUGGGGUCUUCUGUUCCAAGAAAAGAAGUUAAUUUAUUUCUAAACAUGAGACAGCUCUUGGCCACUCUUGUAGAUGUUCUGUGGAUGUCCAGACUUAGUGGAUCAUGUCUUUGACUUGUAAAGCAGGGAAGGCAACACCUCCUCAUUUUGGAGCAAAAUGGGAAAACUCCAUCUCAAUAUCCAGCAUCCCCUGACCUGCUAACGACAUUUGUAGAAGUUAUUUUUUACUGAACUCACUUUAAAAAUUAUUUUUAUAUAUAAAAGAGCUAUUAAUAUAGCUGUGACCUUAAUAGAGUUUGAAUUCACAGGUGCUGUAUCACAGGAUUUUAAAAAAACUUCCACAUUUUAUCUCUCUUUGCUUGACCCCAGUGACUGCAUAAAAUGUCUCACCAUUUGGAUAUUUACAUGUCUUCACAACGAAAUGUGUAUGAAUUUGUGCAUGAUAUUCUGCAUGUGACAUUGAAAGUGAGGUAAUUGGACAGCAGGAGAUGAUGGAGUCAGGCUUUGGUAUCCAUAAGGACUUUUUAAAAGCUACUGAAAGUAAGCAGAUGUUCUUAAAAACAUUGAUGAAUGUGAUAGGGACAAUACAAAACAUUUAUAUGACAUUUUAAUAUAUCACUGUACUCCUUGUUGUUAUAUCUAUAAUAGCUGCCACCCAGGCCCACUAUUCAUAAUUACUAAAAAAUAGAUUAGAAUCUCAAAUCCAUCCAUUAGCAUGCAUGCCUUAAAUGCUUUAUGGAAAAAUGCACCCAGCUACCAGUCAAUCAGCAUGAUUGUGGGUCUAACAGGGCAAGUAGAUUAAAACCAUUUUUAUGAUAAGUAAGCUAUAUUGACACAUUCCGAGUACUCCUGGACAUUUAUCCAUGGUAACAUAAAUCUUCCACCACAGGCAGAAUGCCUUUGUCUUAAGUAUUUCUGAAACUGAUACACAUUUCAGCAUAGAAUACGUAUGUAGCCUGUUUUACAAAUGGGAAAUAUAGGUAAUGUGAUUUUAACUUGCACCUGAAUACAAAUAAAAUGGACUUAGAAUUCAGGAGUGAAUGUUGUACAAAGUUGAGAGUCAUCAGUUAUGUUGUUUAAUGGACUGGCCAAUCCAUAGGAUCUCUCAGCUAGGCUACUAGACUCAAAGUAGCAUUUUGCAGUGAAUUUACUUCAAUAUUUAUGGCACAUUCCACCAUGCAUAUCUGUAGACUGUAUAGCUAAAGCACCAGUUUUCAUACUAUUUCUGGUAACAACCUUAAAAUAGCAUGCCACUAUAAAGAACAACCAUAAUGUAUAUUACUUUACGAGGAACAAGUUCUUCAGAAGUGCAUAAUGGGGAGCAACACAGAGACCAAAACCCAUCUACUUGUAGGCUAUAAUCCUAUAUAUAUUUUCCUGAGAGUAAGUUUCAUUGAACUCAGUGGUCCAUAUUCAAAGAUGCUAUAUGUCAUCCAUCUCACCUGUCAACCUUAUUGAACUAAUUAUAACUAGUGGUUCAAAUAACCCCUUAACUGCACCUUUGCAGUUUCAUUUCUUCCUUCCAUAGGUGUUAUAGGUUCAGAAAAAAAUGAGAAGGAAAACCAUAUACUUUAUUUGCUCUUCUUGAAUCUCCUGACCAUAAUAAUUAGUAACAAAUCAUCAUUAUUGGUAUUUUUUCUUAUUUACACAUUUUGGUUGGACAACUAUCCACUGCUUAAAUCAAUGCACUGACCUUUUCAAGUUCUAGAAUUAAUGAGUCAAAAGAAAAUCAAGCUGUUAAUUUGGAAGGUGACUAUUCUGCAUUUCUGAACUUAUUUUAUUCACUGCCUUAGUUUGCACGUAACACUCAGUCAAAUCAUGGCUUAGUGUGGAUAAGCAAGUGUAUGGCUUUUCGGAGGAGAUCGUGGCUAUUUUGGUCCUCCCAAAUCGUUUUGCUGCUGCCCUGCAACCUAACCUGGCCUCGUGGUUUAGCUCUCUCCAGACAAACCAUGAGAUGUAAACAAUGUUUGACCUAUUGUUUGCAGCGUGUGGUUUGUCUGGAAGUGGUAAAACAUGAACCUGGAUUUAACAUGCUAAACCAAACCACGGCUUAGUUCAGUGCAGCAGCAAAACAACCAAAGAGGAGCAAAGUGAUUGUGGUCUCUUCUCUGGGAGUCCACACAUUUGCUCAAAUGCCCUGCAAACACAGGGAUGGUCUUCAAGUGAAUCUCUGAGAAAUAUAUCUCUGUGAUUUGCAAGUAUUGGAUGCCUACAAUAAAUAGUUUUAAGUGAUCAUCUUCACCGGAACUGUUCACAUAUAAGAAUAUAAGAAGUUUGCAAUGAUAUGUUUCAAUGCAUGUGUUUAUUACUGCCACAUCAGCCAGCCAUAGUCCAAAUAAUUUGAGGUAGUCCCAACACUCAUUUAAAUUAAAGCAUCUUUCGGCCAAAACCCUAUAUAGAGGUAACUCCCACUUCCAAAUAGGUGUGGAUGGGAGAAGAUGGUUCAUGGAUAUGGAAUGUUACAUGUGGAAUGUUUUCAUCCAACCAUCCCAACAGGUACGAUUUAUGGAAUAUGAUUCCUACUCUGCUGCUAUGAACUACUUCACUAAUAGCUUUAUACACAUACAUGUGGUUUGGCAUGGUCUAAAGCAGUGUUUCUAAUUUGCUGUGCUUGUAAAUGUGCACAUUUAAUACUUGACCCAUUUAACACUUGUGCUUUUAUUUUUUAUUUUAAAGUGUUGGGGAAGGGUUGAAAUUCCUGACUAGUUCUGUUGUUAUUUUUUUCCCUGGAAAAGAAUAUGAAGAUAAACAACAAUGAUAUUGUGAUUAUUUCUUUUGAUAUGCAGCAGUCAACAAUAAUGCCCUUUUCUGAAGUAUAUAUGCAGUAUUAUUCAUAAGUAAAGAAGAGCCCAGAUUUAUGUACUGUUUUACACAAAGAAUGUUUUUAUUUGGUAUUCAAGGAAGCACAGCAUUUUGUCUGCUUACUCCUUUUUAAAAAAUUAAAGAAAAUGGGU